GUCAUAUGCUUGUCUCAAAGAUUAAGCCAUGCAUGUCUCAGUACAAGCCAAAWUAAGGUGAAACCGCGAAAGGCUCAUUAAAUCAGUUAUGGUUCCUUAGAUCGUACCCACAAUUACUUGGAUAACUGUGGUAAUUCUAGAGCUAAUACACGCAAACAGAGCUCCGGCCGGAGACGGAAGGAGUGCUUUUAUUAGAUCAAAACCAAUCGGUGGCGGGUUCGCUCGUUAUCGUACAACUUGGUGACUCUGAAUAACUUUACGCUGAUCGCACGGUCAUCGCACCGGCGACGCAUCUUUCAAAUGUCUGCCUUAUCAACUGUCGAUGGUAGGUUCUGCGCCUACCAUGGUUGUAACGGGUAACGGGGAAUCAGGGUUCGAUUCCGGAGAGGGAGCCUGAGAAACGGCUACCACAUCCAAGGAAGGCAGCAGGCGCGCAAAUUACCCACUCCCGGCACGGGGAGGUAGUGACAAAAAAUAACGAUACGGGACUCAUCCRAGGCCCCGUAAUCGRAAUGAGUACACUCUAAACCCUUUAACGAGGAUCAAUUG
rnacentral:rRNA from 1 species